rnacentral:rRNA from 1 species
UACAGAGGGGGCAAGCGUUAUUCGGAAUUAUUGGGCGUAAAGGGCGCGUAGGCGGCUUUGCAAGUGACGGGUGAAAUCCCUCGGCUUAACCGAGGAACUGCCUGUCAAACUGCAUGGCUUGAGACCGGGAGAGGUGAGUGGAAUUCCCAGUGUAGCGGUGAAAUGCGUAGAUAUCGGGAGGAAUACCAGUGGCGAAGGCGGCCUUCUGGACGGAUACUGACGCUGAGGCGCGAAAGCCAGGGGAGCAAACGGG